rnacentral:rRNA from 1 species
CCUACGGGAGGCAGCAGUGAGGAAUAUUGGUCAAUGGGCUUACGCCUGAACCAGCCAAGUCGCGUGAGGGAAGACUGCCCUAUGGGUUGUAAACCUCUUUUGUCAGGGAGCAAUUGGCGCUACGUGUAGCGUUAUCGAGAGUACCUGAAGAAAAAGCAUCGGCUAACUCCGUGCCAGCAGCCGCGGUAAUACGGAGGAUGCGAGCGUUAUCCGGAUUUAUUGGGUUUAAGGGGUGCGUAGGCGGAAUGCCAAGUCAGCGGUAAAAUCGCGGGGCUCAACCUCGCUCCGCCGUUGAAACUGGCGGUCUUGAGUGGGCGAGAAGUAUGCGGAAUGCGUGGUGUAGCGGUGAAAUGCAUAGAUAUCACGCAGAACUCCGAUUGCGAAGGCAGCAUACCGGCGCCCAACUGACGCUGAAGCACGAAAGCGUGGGUAUCGAACAGGAGUAGAUACCCGAGUAGUC